rnacentral:rRNA from 1 species
UACGGGGGGGGCAAGCGUUGUUCGGAAUCACUGGGCGUAAAGCGCACGUAGGCGGACUCUUAAGUCGGUGGUGAAAUCCUGGAGCUCAACUCCAGAACUGCCUUCGAUACUGAGAGUCUUGAGUCCGGGAGAGGUGAGUGGAACUGCGAGUGUAGAGGUGAAAUUCGUAGAUAUUCGCAAGAACACCAGUGGCGAAAGGCGGCUCACUGGCCCGGUACUGAC